rnacentral:rRNA from 1 species
AUUGAACGCUGGCGGCAUGCUUUACACAUGCAAGUCGAACGGCAGCGCGGGCUUCGGCCUGGCGGCGAGUGGCGAACGGGUGAGUAAUGCAUCGGAACGUGCCCAGUAGUGGGGGAUAGCCCGGCGAAAGCCGGAUUAAUACCGCAUACGACCUGAGGGUGAAAGCGGGGGACCGAAAGGCCUCGCGCUAUUGGAGCGGCCGAUGUCGGAUUAGCUAGUUGGUGGGGUAAAGGCUUAGCAAGGGGACGAUCCGUAGCUGGUCUGAAAGGACGACCAGCCACACGGGGAGGGAGACACGGCCCAGACUCCGACGGGAGGCAGCAGUGGGGAAUUUUGGACAAUGGGGGCAACCCUGAUCCAGCCAUGCCGCGUGCGGGAAGAAGGCCUUCGGGUUGUAAACCGCUUUUGUUCGGGAAGAAAUCCUCUGGGCUAAUACCCCGGGGGGAUGACGGUACCGGAAGAAUAAGCACCGGCUAACUACGUG